GUAAUGGUCUCCGCAUUUAUCAACUGCAAAAAUUGAUUUCUUCAAUUUCACAGAACAAUGGAUCUAUCAGUUCUUAUUUUAAUAGAUUGAAAGGGCAUCGGGAAGAAUUGGCUCACUACAGGCCACAUAAUUAUAAUCACUACCAAUCUGAUGAUCAGGUUAUGCAAUUUUUGAUGGGCUUAGACAAUUCCUAUAAUGCUGUUAGAAGCCAGAUCCUUCUUAUGGAUCCAAUUCUUCCAUUGAAUCGUGUUUUUGCGAUGGUUUCUCGAGAAGAAAAGCAAAGACAGGUUACAUCUUUACAUCAAAAUGUAGAGGCUGCUGCUUUUGCCAAUCAUGGUGCUCUCAAUCAACAACAGUUUGUCAAGCACACAAACAGUAACAACCAGGGACAAAGGAAGGAUAGACCUAUUUGUAGUUAUUGUGGCAUCACUGGCCAUAAGAAAAAUGAGUGUUAUAAACUACAUGGAUACCCUCUAGGACAUCGUUUGGCCAAGAAAUCACCUACAAAUGCGUCAGCACAUCAAGUCUCUACAUCAGAUUGUUCUGAGUACUACAUAAUCUCAGUAACAUUACCACAACUCCUAACCAAUGUCAACAGAUUAUCUUUAUGCUAAAGCCUCAACUUGAAGCUUUUAUACCUUCAUCUGUUGCUUCAACUUCCACCGGUGCUGUAAAUCAUGUUGGAGAUUUGCAAGUUGCAUCAACUCACUCUUCAAUGAUGCCUUUUGCUAUAGCUUUCUCAGGUAGUAGCUUAGUAUGUUCAGUUUAUACAUACACAGAAAAUACUUGGAUAAUUGAUAUUGGGCAACAGAUCAUAUUGUCUGCUCUGUCCAACAACUCACCACUAUCACAGCUACUAUUAAUAGAACUGUUAGAUUACCCAAUGGCUAUGUUGCCACAGUCACACAUGUAGGAACGGUUCAGCUAUCAAGUGACCUUAUUCUGACAAAUGUCCUUUGUGUUCCAUGCUUCACUUUUAAUUUGAUAUCUGUCAGUAGAUUAAUUUCAAUCCAUCAUUGUUGUGUAAUUAUCAUGUUUGCUUACUGCUUCAUUCAGGAUCUUUUGUCUUGGAAGACGAUUGGGGUAGGGAAAAUUGAUGGUGGUCUCUAUCACUUACAACUUCAAACACCUCAUCAACAACUUCAAAAUAUAGCCUCCAGUUUACCAAAGUCUG
rnacentral:lncRNA from 1 species